GGCAGGGUAGCUCAGCUGGUUAGAGCGGAGGUCUCAUAAUCCUCAGGUCGGUGGUUCAAGUCCACUCCUUGUCACCA
rnacentral:tRNA from 5 species